UCCAGGUGAAGUUGAGUUAAGUUAAGUUCCUCUGUAAAGGUUCAUGUACCAGGACUGGACUGGAAAUGAGGGAAAAAGCAGAAAAUGUCCAAAGAAAAACUUUGAAAGACCUUCAGAAAGAUGG